AGUGAACGCUGGCGGUAGGCCUAACACAUGCAAGUCGAACGGCAGCACAGUAAGAGCUUGCUCUUACGGGUGGCGAGUGGCGGACGGGUGAGGAAUACAUCGGAAUCUACUUUUUCGUGGGGGAUAACGUAGGGAAACUUACGCUAAUACCGCAUACGACCUACGGGUGAAAGCAGGGGAUCUUCGGACCUUGCGCGAUUGAAUGAGCCGAUGUCGGAUUAGCUAGUUGGCGGGGUAAAGGCCCACCAAGGCGACGAUCCGUAGCUGGUCUGAGAGGAUGAUCAGCCACACUGGAACUGAGACACGGUCCAGACUCCUACGGGAGGCAGCAGUGGGGAGUAUUGGACAAUGGGCGCAAGCCUGAUCCAGCCAUACCGCGUGGGUGAAGAAGGCCUUCGGGUUGUAAAGCCCUUUUGCUGGGAAAGAAAAGCAGCAGGUUAAUACCCCGCUGUUCUGACGGUACCCAAAGAAUAAGCACCGGCUAACUUCGUG
rnacentral:rRNA from 1 species